AAAUUUUCAACGAUGGAUGUCUUGGCUCCCAUAUCGAUGAAGAACGCAGCAAGAAUGCGAUAUGCAAUGUGAAUUGCAGAACCAUGAAUCAUCGGAUCUUUGAACGCAACUGGCGCUGAUUUACCUCAGCAUACUUGAUUCAGUGUGCGC
rnacentral:rRNA from 1 species